rnacentral:rRNA from 2 species
GCAUAUCAAUAAGCGGAGGAAAAGAAACCAACAGGGAUUGCCUUAGUAACGGCGAGUGAAGCGGCAAAAGCUCAAAUUUGAAAUCUGGCACUUUCAGUGUCCGAGUUGUAAUUUGAAGAAGGUAACUUUGGAAUUGGCCCUUGUCUAUGUUCCUUGGAACAGGACGUCACAGAGGGUGAGAAUCCCGUGCGAUGAGGUGACCAAUUCUAUGUAAAGUGCUUUCGAAGAGUCGAGUUGUUUGGGAAUGCAGCUCUAAGUGGGUGGUAAAUUCCAUCUAAAGCUAAAUAUUGGCGAGAGACCGAUAGCGAACAAGUACAGUGAUGGAAAGAUGAAAAGAACUUUGAAAAGAGAGUGAAAAAGUACGUGAAAUUGUUGAAAGGGAAGGGCUUGAGAUCAGACUUGGUAUUUUGCGUUCCCUUCCUUUUUGGUUGGGUUCCUCGCAGUUUACUGGGCCAGCAUCGGUUUGGAUGGUAGGAUAAUGACAUUGGAAUGUGGCUCUACUUCGGUGGAGUGUUAUAGACUUUGUUGAUACUACCUAUCUAGACCGAGGACUGCGUCUUUGACUAGGAUGCUGGCGUAAUGAUCUUAAGCCGCCCGUCUUGAAAACACGGACC